rnacentral:rRNA from 1 species
UACAGAGGUCCCAAGCGUUGUUCGGAUUCACUGGGCGUAAAGGGUGCGUAGGUGGCUUGGUAAGUUUGAUGUGAAAUCGUCCGGGCUUAACCCGGAAAUGGCAUUGAAUACUAUUGAGCUGGAGGUUUGGAGGGGGGACUGGAAUUCUCGGUGUAGCAGUGAAAUGCGUAGAUAUCGAGAGGAACACCAGUGGCGAAGGCGAGUCCCUGGACAACACCUGACACUGAGGCACGAAAGCUAGGGGAGCAAACAGG